rnacentral:rRNA from 1 species
UACGGAGGGGGCUAGCGUUGUUCGGAAUUACUGGGCGUAAAGCGCGUGUAGGCGGCUUUGCAAGUCGGGUGUGAAAGCCCUCAGCUCAACUGAGGAAGUGCGCCCGAAACUGCAGAGCUUGAGUGCCGGAGAGGGUGGCGGAAUUCCCCAAAGUAGAGGUGAAAUUCGUAGAUAUGGGGGAGGAACACCGGUGGCGAAGGCGGCCACCUGGACGGUAACUGGACGCUGAGACGCGAAAGCGUGGGGAGCAAACAGG